CAAUAACUGAUGAAAGGGAGAAAAAACCAGGACACUCACCGUCAGCCGGGCUGCCACCACAACACCUGAGUACAGUUGAGCCGUAAUGCUACCCUCGAUUUGGAUGAGGAAAAACUCCCCAACCCCAGGAAAAGCAACAAAGCAGGGACCCCUCUCCCAGGAUGGACAGACAUGAAGUAGAUGUCGUGGGUACAGAACAGAUAGAACUGUGAUGGUCAGCAGUGAUUGCUACAAGCAACAGAAGGUUUGACUAAACCGACUCCGGAUGGCAGGUUUAGGUUUUCACUUUCAAACUGACUGACAUAAAUUUUGACAACACAGUAGGCAGCAAGGGAAUACCAAUAUUUAAGAAUAUCAUAAAUUGUAUAUUUACAUUGUGAUUUGAGAGCAGUCUACUGUACUUUGCUUAAAUUAAAGCAGCAGAUGGGG